CUACGGGAUGCAGCAGUGAGGAAUAUUGGUCAAUGGGCGAAAGCCUGAACCAGCCAUGCCGCGUGAAGGAUGACGGCCCUAUGGGUUGUAAACUUCUUUUAUACGGGAAGAAACACCUCUACGUGUAGAGGUUUGACGGUACCGUACGAAUAAGCAUCGGCUAACUCCGUGCCAGCAGCCGCGGUAAUACGGAGGAUGCAAGCGUUAUCCGGAUUUAUUGGGUUUAAAGGGUACGUAGGCGGAAACUUAAGUCAGUAGUGAAAUCCCGCAGCUUAACUGUGGAACUGUUAUUGAUACUGGGUUUCUUGAAUAUUGUUGAGGUAGUCGGAAUAAGUAAUGUAGCGGUGAAAUGCUUAGAUAUUACUUAGAACACCGAUUGCGAAGGCAGCUUACUAAGCAAUUAUUGACGCUGAGGUACGAAAGCGUGGGGAGCGAGCAGGAUUAGAUACCCGCGUAGUC
rnacentral:rRNA from 1 species